CCUUCUUAAAGCUUCGAUCCCUUGUCGGCGUAGCUGUCCAAUUUCCCUUGGCCAUGGAGACGACGACCACGUUCCUCCUCGCCGCUACCGUGGUCGAGGAGGAGUUCUUUGAGGUGCUGGGCGCCCGCCACCACCAUGGUCUUUCGACAGAUGUAGUUCCAGGAUCUGCCGGCAUUAUCUUUUGACGAGAAGCGGAAAUGAUUGAAAGAGUGAAAGCAAGUCGUAAAUAUCAGAGUCGAGUACUUCUUUCAAAGGAAGGAGCAAGGUUUUGACCAUCGGACAUUAUAUAACACAAGAAACACAAAGAAGAUGGAUCACCGGAACAAAAAUGACUUCUUGAAGGCACAAUUAAUCAUUGUUUUUUUUUUUAUUUUUGGGCUAUCAAGGAUGAUGAUUGGAUCAUAUUUGAAUAAAUAGCAAGAACACAUCUUCACUU